rnacentral:rRNA from 1 species
GACGAACGCUGGCGGCGUGCUUAACACAUGCAAGUCGAACGGUGAAGCGCCUUCCUUUUUGGUGGGUGUGGAUGAGUGGCGAACGGGUGAGUAACACGUUAGUAACCUGCCCCCUCCUGCUGGAUAACCGCAUGAAAGUGUGGCUAAUACGGGAUAUUCUGGGUCUGUCGCAUGAUGGGUCUGGGAAAGAUAUUGUUUCGGUGGGGGAUGGGCUCGCGGCCUAUCAGCUUGUUGGUGGGGUGAUGGCCUACCAAGGCGGUGACGGGUAGCCGGCCUGAGAGGGUGGGCCGUCCCGCAGGGGCUGCGCGGCGGCGCAGCCUACUGGAGGAAGCAGCAGGGGGUAUUACUGCAUGGGGGGCGGCAGGCUGGUGCAGCGCCGCCGGGGGGGGGAUGGUGGCCGUCUGGUUGUGCACCUCUUUCGGGAGAGAAGCAGGCCGGCCGUGUUUGUGCGUGGGUUGACGGUAGCUGGACAGGAAGCGCCGGCUAACUACGUG